rnacentral:lncRNA from 1 species
UAAUAAUAAUAAUAAUAAUAAUAACUGUGGAUGCAUGGCUUUCUCCAGCUAGAUUCCAAAGAAUGUCAUAGACAGCCUGAUGGCCCAGGCAGACACGUGUUGCAAGGGUGGAGCAACCCAGAGGGCCCUUACUAGGGCAGUGUGUGGCAUAACUUUAGGGUAGGAGCUACCGCAGAGAGUCUCCUAGAGCAAUGCCUAGUAAAGCCUAAGGAGUGGGCUCACACCAACACCCCAGAACUCUAGACCUACCAGCAUGAAAUACUAGCCAGGAGAGCCACAGGCACCUGACACCAACCUGUGAGAGCUGCUGCAUGGGUAGCACCAAACAAAGCUGUAGGGGUAGGCCUGCCUACCUGAGGCCUUGGGGGCCCAACUGCUGCUCCAGUGUUCCCAGAUGGUAGGAUGUGGAGUCAAGGAAGAUUACUCUGGAGCCUUAAGAUUUAGUGUUGUUUGCCCUGUUGGGUUUUGGAUUGACUUAAGACUAUCCCUUUCUUCUUGCCUAUUUGUGUCUUUUGGAAUGGGAAUGUCUAUCCUUUGCCUAUUCCACCAUUGUAUUUUGGAAGUAAGUAACUUGUUUGAUUUCACAGGCUUACAGCUAGAGGGAAGUGUCCCUCAAGAUGAAUCCUGCCUUGAAUCUCAUCCAUAUCUGAUUCAGAUGAGACUGUAGGCUUCCAAGACUCUGAAAUACCAGGAUUUCCACAAACUCAUCUUGCCCUGACUGGGAAUCUUUCGGAGAUUGGAUUUCAGAGUAUUCCCCAACCUGAUCGGAUAUCACCUCCUCAAUGGAAGCUUCCCUAAUACCCUCUGAUGUUUCUAGAAGCAGGACACAUGGCUUGUGUCAUAAGUCUUGACCUGAUUAUCAUAGAUUGCCUCACCAAGUUUAGCAUACCCUGUCUGAGAGUGAUGCUGGCAAAUUAGUGAAUAAGAGGACUGUGGAAUUUAUUUGAUUGCUAAUCUUGUGUCAGGACAUGGUUAUUUUUUAAAAAAGAAGUGUCCUCUUUUGAUCUUAACUGUUUGAUAUCUCAGCCCUUGAGUGAGGCAGUUAUAUGCAAAGGAGAUGAGAAGGAUGAGAAAAGUGAGUACUUUUCCUUCAUAAAAGCCACAUGAAUUGAACAAGACUUCAGAAUUCAGAAGAACUACAUCAAGUUCUUGGGUCAUUUUUUUAACCCAUUCUCCAAGAAUUGAAAAAAUGACCUUGCAAAUAUGUGCAAGACUCUGGAAUCUUCCUUUGGCAGAUGAUGAAUGAGAUGAAUAUUUCCAGGUGCUUGCCUUCAGCACCAGCACAUGUACAUUCUAGUACUCUUGGCCUUGAUCCUACACUGAAUCUGAGGGUGCAAGGACUUUAGAUAGAGGCUCAGGACAGACUGGACCUGUAUGAACUUCUGAAUUGUAGCUAGCCUGGGCAGCCAGUUACUUGGAUCCCUCUGGGGCUUCUGGACAAACAACUCUUUUAUAGCCCAAGGUAGAUGGUCAGGGGCGACCAGAGAGAGCAAUAGAUUCGUUGACUUCAAGCUUAACAUGAGUUAGCAGUAUGGUGAGGCUUCCAGCAAAAUGUAAGCACUCAAUAAAUGUUAGCUAUUAUUAC